rnacentral:lncRNA from 1 species
UUCUUUACACCUCUAUACCUCCUUUCAACUUUCUCACCCACACAACCACCAUGAACCGUACUCAAUUGUAUGUCACAGCUUAACUCUUCCUACACUCAAUUUGUUUGUUGGGUUUUGUUUUUGUGUUUCAAAAGUCAUAAACUUGAAACACUUGAAUUGAUCCUAUGUAACCAACAUGUUUGUUUCUUUGUUUGUGUCUGAUUAACUUUAUGUUGUGAACUUCUUGUGAUUGCAGAUUUAACAGUGGAAUUAUGCAAGCACCCUUUGUCACAAGCUCUCCUCUUCUCCUAAAAACAUGGGGUGUUAUCGCGUCACGUGAUGAAGAUGUGGUUCCCCACGAGGGGAGGGGAUUGUUCUGGAAAGUUUGGAAGGAAUCGGAAUUGACGAUUGUGGUGUUUGAGGUCAAGAAUGAUUUUGAUCCUCAGCAGAAAUUGGUUUCUUCUUCCGUUCUCAAGGAGAAGAAUAACUUCCGCCGCUUUGAGUUUCUAUGUACCAAGAAAAUUCCCGAGUUAUCUUUUAAUGGGUCUGUAGUUUCGCUAUUUAUUGACAAUCUUGAGAAGCUGGAUGAGUUGAAGUCCAAGGUACAUCUUCUCCUUCCCUUUUCAUUAUAUUUGUGGUUUCUGUUUGAAAACCUGCAAUCUGAAACGCAAUAGAUUGAUUAAGAUAUUAGGUUUCUUGUGUGGCCUGCGUGAAAAAAAAAAAUUGUGCUACAAGUCUAGAGAGGCAUUUUGGUAGAGAUCAUGGGUAAACUCCUUCACCUGAUACAAUUCUGUAGGAUCACUAUAAAUAGAGAUGAGUUUAGUUUUACUUAAUCAUGUACUAACACAGUGAACUUUUGAAGUAAUUAUUACAAAAUUUGACAAUUCAUGAUUGUAAGAUAGUUCAAGUGGUGUCUGGAGUUUAAGGGGUUUUUCUUCUAGCUUUUUGGUUUUAAAAACUGGUUUCCCAAUGAACAAAUUUUCAUCCAAAAUGUAUGAAGUUUUGAAAUUUUGUUUCUGGGGCAAGUGUUUUAAAAACCACAAAACUGAAGGUGAACUGUAUCCUAUUCUUCUGAUCUGUUGUCCAAGCUCAAGAGCGAGUCAUUAGGAGUGGUGCUGUACGUAGUGAGGCAUGGACUUUUGUGUGAAUUUCUGUUCUCAUUACUUUUUUUGAAAACUAAAAAUAAUUUUUGAAAGUUGAAAUCAAACACACUUUGUUUCUUUAAUUUCCUUAGAAUUUACUGUUCUUCGUCCUUGUAACAAUGGUAAUACUGAUGCAGAUUAGUAGCUCCCAUCCAUUGAUUAUUACUGGACAUGGUGUUGGAGGAGCAAUAGCUUCUCUUUUUACUGUGUUGCUUUUAGAAAGCAUUGGCUCAGGAAAGAAACGUCCUCUCUGCAUCACCUUUGGUUCUCCCCUUAUUGGUGACAAAAAGUUGCAGGAAGCCAUAUCACGAAGUUCUAUAUGGAGUUCUUGCUUUCUACAUGUUGUCUCUUACAAAGACUCACUUCCAAAGAAGUUGAAUUCCCAACCAGUUGAUUACAUGCCUUUUGGGACAUUUCUCUUUUGUUCUGAUACAGGUGCUACUUGUUUUGGGAACCCCGAGUCUGUUUUGGAGCUUCUUGUGAGCUCAAUCAAUGAUCAAAGUCAAGGUUUUGAGGUCGCAGAUUAUGGAAAACUUGUGAAAAAUCUCAAUUGUAAAGCAAUUUGCAAGGACUUUAGCCUACAGGGGAUGAACUUGACACAUUCUACUUCACUAAAUGCAAGUAUCCGUUUGCAGUUAUGUGCAGCACUAGGAUUGACAUCAAAUAUGCAGGUAGCUAAAUAUCUUUUAAGUUGUAAUCCGCUUACAUUUAAAAGAAGAACAAAACUUAUAAGCAAUACAACAAGAGCCGUUUUCUUAUCAAAUUAAGACUUUCAACAUGAUAAUAUAUGAUGGUGACAUUUAAUGAAAUAUUUCAUUAUGGACUUGAGAUGAUUAGAGAACAAUGUCUAUGAUUCUGCAUAUGUAAGCUCACUAAAUCUUGUUAGUCUUGUGUGUAACUAAACCAGAAUUUGGCGAGUAAAUUUUUCGUAAUAUCUUAUCUAAAUUUGAUUUUACAGCAGCUACAACACCAGAACAUUGAUAUAAAUGCUUUGGUAACAAAGUUGGAAAGACUGGAGAAUAAAUUCAUGUUCCAGAAGAUGAAAUUUGAUCCAUCCAAGAAAUUGAAUGUGAUGAAGAUAGACAUGGCAAAACUUGAAUGGUACAAGAAGCAUUGUAAAAGUCAAGGUAGUGGGUACUAUGACUGCUUCAAAAGGGGCGUCUCAACAAUUGACCAAGAUGCUGUUCAGUGGCAGAAAAACCUCAGAAACUACUGGAGUGACAUGGUUGAAGAGGCAGAGAUGAAACCUCAGACAGAAGCAGCUGCUUUUCGUACUCGCUGGCUUUUUUCUGGAACUAACUACAGGAGAAUGGUUGAGCCUCUAGACAUUGCUGAAUACUAUGCAAAUGGUCUUCGUAAGGACUAUGAGGCUAAAGGAAGGUCUAGACAUUAUGUAGUGUUGGAGAAGUGGCUGGAAGAAGAUAAGAAAGAAAAAAGUGAUUCAGAGGGCAAAACUAAAAAGAAUGUGGAAUUGAUUUUAACCAUUGAUUCUUGCUUUUGGGCAAAGCUUGAAGAGGCUCUCCUUUUGUGUGGAGAGUUGGAUAAUUUGAAAGAGAAUGUAGAGGCAAAAGGGAAGUUGCUUGAAUUUGAGAACUAUGUUUAUGAAUCACUCAAAAAGUAUGAAGUGUCACCAGAGAUUUUCUUGAAGGGAAGCAGUUACAUGACUUGGUGGAAUAAGUAUAAAGGGUUUGCAGAUAAUCAUAGACUAGCAAACUUCAUGAGAAAUCCUCAGCAUUUUGAUCAGUAUACUGAGGGAGAUUAUUCUUUCACCUGAAGUACAGUGAAUGCAAUGUGUGGUUGAUUGUACAAUAAAUUAUGAUUUGAUCGUUCUACAUUUCCUUUGUUGAUUUUGGUAGGAAUCUUAGUUUUACCAUCCCUUGUGAUGUCUUAUGGGAAACUCUUGCAAUUGUCUUUCCCUUGUAAGCUUUCACUCUCGUUGUUCUCGAAAAUUUAAGUGUAAUGGAAGCAUUGUAACGCCCUAACCUACUUUGGAGUUACAUUAUUACUAAUCACUUCACUAAUCACUAACGUAAAUAGAUAAUUGUUGUUUCAGAUUUUGCUUGGAUAUUGUGUUUCAAUACUACUUCUUUCAUUCUUUCUCCACUAUUCAGUUGUCAGACACGGCGGAAAAGAUACAACCACUUCUCUAGGCAUGUUGUCGGUACGCCGUGGACCGGAGCUGUUACAUUUUGCAGCUUUGCAAAGAGAAAAAGAAAAAACAGAGUUGCCUUCUAGGAAGAAUAAAGAAGAAGGAAAGAGAGAGUAAAAAAAGAAAACUACUUUCAAAAGGUUUUUUAUUUAAUAAUUUAAUAAUUUAAUUAUAUUAAUGAUUCAAUAUUUUAUUAAAUUCUGUUUUUUCUGAAGUUUAAAUUUUUUUAUUUGAACAUGAGAUUUAAUUCCAAUUUUUUUAAUUUAAUAAAUUUAAAUCUAUAUAUGAUUUAUAGGGCACUUUUAUAUUUUCAUUUAUUUUACACAAAAUUACAAAUUUUAUACUUUGGAUCUCUCUUUCUAAAACGAUAAAUUAAAGUUUUAUUAGUUGUUAAAAUAAUAAAAUAUCAUUUAAACUUUUACUUAAGAAAAGAAAAUAAAUUUUAAAUCAUUUUUUACAAUAAUCAUAUUAAAAUUACAAAUAUAACAUAAUAUCAAAUAAUUAAUAAUUUAAUAUUAUUUUUAAAGUAUAUAAUAUAUUAUACUAUAAUUAAUUUUAAUUCGCGACAUGUUUUGUUUUUUAUAUUUAAAUAAUUUAAUUUCUAUUACAUUAAUUUAUUUGACACGAUUUUAUUUUUAUGUUUAAUUAAUUUUUUAUGUUUAGAUUAUUUUUAUUAUAAAAGAUUAAGAUAAAUAUAUCUAAUUUAAAUAAAUUAAGAUUAAUUUUUUUAUAUUUAAUUUAUUUUAAAUGUUUCUUACUUUUUUCUUACAUUAUGAAAUAUAUUAGUACAUAUAUUGUUGUAUCCGUCUCCUAUAUUUUUUCAGUUUAGUAGUAUCUUUGUGUUUGGCAAAUCCGUGUAUAUGUAUAUCUUCAGAACAUAUAUAGAUUUCACAUGUGUUUAGUAGUAUCUAUGUGUUUGGCAGAUCAUUAUCUUUAAUUAAAUGAAUCUUAUGAAUCAAAAUUAGAUUUCACAUGUAAAGAAAUCCAAAAUUUCAUAGAAAGAUAAUAUUAGAAUAAGUCAAUUAAACAUAAACUAAAAUGUUUUAAUAGCAAUUGCGAAAACAUAAACCAUAACCAUCCAACAAAUUAAAAUACUUUAUAUAUAUAUAUAUAUAUAUAUAUAUAUAUAUAUAUAUAUAUAUNAUAUAUAUAUAUAUAUAUAUAUAUAUAUAACACUCAAACUUUCCUUCCACUUUCUAUGUCUUUACACCCAAAUUUUCCUUUCACUUUCUAUGUCUUUACGUAGUAAGUUUCGUCAAUUUAUGAGAAAAAAAAUGCAAAUGCCGAGAGUUGACUUGAUUUACCUCAUACUACUGACUUCAUCUUCAUAUCAUUGAUCUAUUAAAACCAUAAAAUUCUCAAGAAUUCACUGCAUUACAAGUUUCUUCCUUCCUUUUGCUAUUUUAUAACAAAACAAUUCUCCUAUUCUUUACACCUCUCAUACUUCCUUUCAAAUUUCUCACUCACACAACCACCAUGAGCCUUACUCAAUCGUAUGUCACACCUUAACUCUUCCUACACUCAAUUUGUUUAUUGGGUUUUGUUUUUGUGUUUCAAAAGUCAUAAACUUGGAACACUUGAAUUGAUCCUAUGUAACCAACAUGUUUGUUUGUUUGUUUCUUUGUGUCUGAUUAACUUUAUGUUGUGAACUUCUUGUGAUUGCAGAUUUAGCAGUGGAAUUGUGCAAGCACCCUUUGUCACAAGCUCUCGUCUUCUUCUAAAAACAUGGGGUGUUAUCUCGUCACGUGAUGAAGAUGUGGUUCACCACGUGGGGAAGGGAUUGGUCUGGAAAGUUUGUGAGGAGUCGGAUUUGACGGUUGUGGUGUUUGACGUCAAGAAUGAUUUUGAUCUUCAACAGAAUUUGGUUUCUUCUACCUAUCUCAAGGAGAACAAUAAUUUCCACCGCUUUGAGUUUCUAUGUACGAAGAAAAUUCUAGAGUUCUCUGUUAACUGGUCUGCUGUUUCGCUAUUCAUUGACAAUUUUGAGAAGCUUGAUCAGUUGAAGUCCAAGGUACAUCUCCUCCUUCCCCUUUCAUUAUUCUGUGGUUUCUAUUUGAAAAAUUUACUUUUUUUGAAAACCAAGUAAAUUUUGAAAGUUGAAGUCAAACACACUUCGUUUCUUUAAUUUCCUGGAAUUUAUUGUUCUUCCUAUGUGAGCCCUUGUAAAACUGUUAUAUUAAUGCAGAUUAAUAGCUCCCAUCGACUGAUUGUUACUGGACAUGGUGUUGGAGGAGCAAUAGCUUCUCUCUUUACUGUGUUGCUUUUAGAAAGCAUUGGCACAGGAAAGAAACGUCCUCUCUGCAUCACCUUUGGUUCUCCCCUUAUUGGUGACAAAAAGUUGCAGGAAGCCAUAUCACGAAGUUCUAUAUGGAAUUCUUGCUUUCUACAUGUUGUCUCUUACAAAGACUCACUUCCAAAGAAGUUGAGUUCCCAACCAGUUGAUUACAUGCCUUUUGGGACAUUUCUCUUUUGUUCUGAUACAGGUGCCACUUGUUUUGAGAACCCCGAGUCUGUUUUGGAACUUCUUGUGAGCUCAAUCAGUGGUCAAAGUCAAGGUUUUGAGGUCGCAGAUUAUGGAAAACUUGUUGAAAAUCUAUAUCGUAAAUCGAUUUGCAAGAACUUGAUCCCACGGGGGCUGAACUUGACACAUUCUACUUCACUGAAUUCAAGUAUCCGUUUUCAGUUGUCUGCAGCACUAGGAUUGUCAUCUGAUAUUCAGGUAGCUGAAUAUGUUUUAAGUUCUAAGCAUUUAAAGUAAG